GACGAACCGUGCGAACGUUAUUCGGAAUCACUGGGCUUAAAGCGCGUGUAGGCGGGCCGCCACGUCGGCUGCUGAAAUCCCCCGGCUCAACCGGGGAACGGGCACCGAUACGAGCGGCCUCGAGGGGGGUAGGGGGGUCUGGAACUUCCGGUGGAGCGGUGAAAUGCGUUGAGAUCGGAAGGAACGCCCGUGGCGAAAGCGAGGCCCUGGACCCUUUCUGACGCUGAGACGCGAAAGCCAGGGGA
rnacentral:rRNA from 1 species